UACGAAGGGGGCUAGCGUUGCUCGGAAUCACUGGGCGUAAAGGGUGCGUAGGCGGGUUAUUAAGUCAGAGGUGAAAUCCUGGAGCUCAACUCCAGAACUGCCUUUGAUACUGAUAGUCUUGAGUAUGGGAGAGGUGAGUGGAACUGCGAGUGUAGAGGUGAAAUUCGUAGAUAUUCGCAAGAACACCAGUGGCGAAAGCGGCUCACUGGAUCUCUUCUGACGCUGAGGCACGAAAGCUAGGGUAGCGAACGGG
rnacentral:rRNA from 1 species